rnacentral:rRNA from 1 species
UGCGUAGGCGGUUUUGUAAGUCUUAUGUGAAAUCUAUGGGCUCAACUCAUAGACUGCAUGAGAAACUGCAGGGCUUGAGUAUGGGAGAGGUGAGUGGAAUUCCUGGUGUAGCGGUGAAAUGCGUAGAUAUCAGGAGGAACACCUGUGGCGAAAGCGGCUCACUGGACCAUAACUGACGCAGAUGCACGAAGCGUAGGGAGACAAACA